UGCAGUAGGCUCAAGCAGCUGCCACAGCAAACUUGCUGCCUGAGCCCCAAACACGGUGGACAGAUGUGGCAGCAGACACCU